AGAGCACAUGUAUGCCUGGUGCCCAUGGAAGCCAAGAGAGGGCAUUGGAUCCCUUGGCACUGGAGUUACAGUUGGGAGCUGCCAUGUCAGUUUUGGGAAAUGAGUCUUUUACCUGUUGCCUGUUGUUUAGGUUGUUUUCAAUUUCAAUGUCUUGUAUAUACAGCUGUUGUGAACUGAAAUAAAUAAGUCUUUAAAAGAAAAUAUGUUCUCUUUCUCCAGGUUAUAUAUUUGGGGUUGUGAUGGCCAGAUGACAAUUAACAUAUGAAGAAAUUGAGAAAUACUUUUCCAAGUCUCUGUCCUGUUUUCCUUGGCCACCAGCAGUGGGUAUGAGAGUUUCAUCCUCCAGAGCCUUGCCAGGUCUUUGUAUGACAAGUCUUUAUUCCUGAAUAUUUUAUGGGGGUGUCGAGAGUCCCCUCAGAGUCACCUGUCUCUCUUCCCUAAGUGUUAAGGAUAUUGAUGCUGAAUGUUUCUCUUAGUGGAGCAUCUACUCACCCUUCUGGCCAAGUUUUAUUUCCUAAAUUGUCUAUUUUCUUAGUUUAUCUUUUUGAGGUUUUCUGUAUCCUUGAAACAAGAAAACUGUCAUCUGAUACAUAAUUUCCAACAUUCAUCUUCCCAGGCUAGAAGAGGGCACCAGACCUCUUUACAAAUGGUUGUGACCCACCAUGUGCUUGCCGGGAAUUGAACCUUUGGAAGAGAAGGCAGUGCUCUUAAACACUGAGCCAUCUCUCCAGGCCCUAGGACAUUCAAGAAACCUCAACCCAACUGACAGAGCCAAAAUUACCUGCAGAUAUGAUGCAACUAUUCCUAAAGACAUCUCAAAGUAAGUUUAAAAAUAAAAACAAAUAAACUAGAGUCUGGAGAUAUGGUU